AAUGACCGUAAUGUGUGUGUAUGAAUGGAAGUGUUUUUAACCAUUUUGGCGUCUUUAUCCAUUGUCGUCGGGUGAGAUAAUUUAAUCAUAUUCGGAUGAUGAUUAAAUAAAGAAAUAUCGAUGGUGAAAAAAAAAGAGUUCAACCUCGAAAUUGUUGAAAAACCGCUAUGCAUUGAGCGAAUAUUUUGUAUGACAAAUGAACAGUACUUGACGAUAAUUCAAAAUUGAAUGACGAAAAAUAUA